UCCCUUCGGGGAGUACAUCAGCGGCAGACGGGUGAGUAACACGUAGAUAACCUGCCCUCAAGACGGGGACAACCGGUGGAAACAGCGGCUAAUACCCGAUAUGCUCACAGGAUCGGGAGAUCGAGUGAGGAAAGCGCCCCUUCGGGGGAGAGUGUUUGAGGAGGGAUCUGCGGCCCAUCAGCUAGUUGGUGAGGUAACGGCUCACCAAGGCGAAGACGGGUAGGGGGUGUGAGAGCAUGGCCCCCCACAAUGGGACUGAGACACGGCCCAUACUCCUACGGGAGGCAGCAGCGGGGAAUAUUGCGCAAUGGACGGAAGUCAGACGCAGCGACGCCGCGUGGGUGAGGAAGGCCUUCGGGUUGUAAAGCCCUUUUCAGGGGAGCGAGAAAGGACGGUACCCUUGGAAUAAGCGUCGGCUAACUACGUGCCAGCAGCCGCGGUAAGACGUAGGACGCAAGCGUUAUCCGGAUUUACUGGGCGUAAAGCGCCUGUAGGCGGUCAAGUAAGUCGGAUGUGAAAGCCCCGUGCUCAACGCGGGGAAGCCAUUCGAUACUGCGUGACUAGAGAACGGCAGAGGGAAACGGAAUUUCUGGUGUAGCGGUAAAAUGCGCAGAGAUCAGAAAGAACACCGAUGGCGAAGGCAGUUUCCUAGGCCGCACCUGACGCUGAGGCUCGAAAGCGUGGGUAGCAAAACGGAUUAGAUACCCGUGUAGUCCACGCCGUAAACGAUCCCUGUUAGAUGUA
rnacentral:rRNA from 1 species